rnacentral:rRNA from 1 species
AGAGUUUGAUCCUGGCUCAGGGAUGAACGCUGGCGGCGUGCCUAACACAUGCAAGUCAACGGGGCUGAUUGGACGGCGAUUCGUCAAAGUCCAGAAAGCCUAGUGGCGGACGGGUGAGUAACGCGUGGGCAACCUGCCCUGUAGAGGGGGACAACAGCUGGAAACGGCUGCUAAUACCGCAUAAGCCCACGGGGCCGCAUGGCCCUGGGGGAAAAGAUUCAUCGCUACAGGAUGGGCCCGCGUCUGAUUAGCCAGUUGGCGGUGUAACGGACCACCAAAGCAACGAUCAGUAGCCGGACUGAGAGGUCGGACGGCCACAUUUGGGACUGAGACACGGCCCAAACUCCUACGGGAGGCAGCAGUGGGGAUAUUGCACAAUGGGGGAAACCCUGAUGCAGCGACGCCGCGUGGGUGAAGGAGUCCUUCGGGACGUAAAGCCCUAUCAGCAGGGAAGAAAACGACGGUACCUGACUAAGAAGCCCCGGCUAACUACGUGCC